UAAGCAAAGCACAACCAACUGUUUGGUAAACUAUGAACCGACUUGCUUUGCUUUGAAGCUCAAGCUUUUGUCUAAAAAGGCGGAAGCAGGGGAACCUCUCCUUUUAGAAGCAGAAGCUGGCACUGUAACGGAGUACUGUAGAGCUGUGUUUUAAUGAAAUUUACGAAAUACUAGAAACUACCCUCAUUUGCUUCAGAGUAAUUACUAGCCAAUGCCAAGAACUACUCUUUCAUUCGUGUUUCUCCCUCAAUUGAGUCAAUUCUGCCUCUCCUUCAUAGAGAAAAUCUAUGGAAAUCUAUGAAAAUAUUCUGAUUAUGGGAUUUAGUAGCAACUGGUCCUUCUUUGUAGGAAAAGUUGUGUUCCUUGGAACUACUUCUCCUUUCCCCCUUCCAAUUACUUCAAUUUCUUCUCCGGAGCUUAAGAUUUAGGGUUCCAUUUCGGACAUAGAGAGCUUCGGAGAGAACGUCAUUGCCGUAAUCAUGGUUGGAGGCCAACUGAAGGUACCUGGGUCAUCUCAAUUUUCCUCAAUUACGUUAAAGUUUUGAUCUUCUUAAAGCUUUUCUGGGUUUUCAAUUUUCUGGGCAGGGACUAGAUUUUAGUCUCUAUCAUUCAACACGCCCAAACCGCUAUUCCCAUUGGCUGGGCAAGCUAUGGUUCAUCAUCCAAUCUCAGCUUGUAAAAAGGUCUUGCGUGCAGUUUCUUUGGUGUGCUUUUCAUUUUUCUUUUUCGACAAUUGCUUACUACACAAUGUACAAAAGUGAGUUAACAUAAUCUAUAUUAGGCACUGGAUGUGAUGUUCUGAAUAUGUAGGCAUGUAGCAAGAGAUUGAUCAGAAUCUGUUUUGCCCAACUUUCAUCAGAAUCUGCUGCCGAAGAAGACUAGGAAAGGGAAGGGAGACAUUGGAUCAACGUCGCAAGAGUUUAGAGUUCUUAUUUGAUUAUAAUUUGGACUGAUUGUUUCUAAACAAAAAAUUAGGAAAUUUUUGGUUAAAAUAUAAUAUGGUUUUUGGUAUA